rnacentral:rRNA from 1 species
CCUACGGGAGGCAGCAGUGGGGAAUCUUGGACAAUGGGCGAAAGCCUGAUCCAGCUAUGCCGCGUGUGGGAUGACGUCACUCGGUAUGUAAAGCACUAUCAGCAAGGAAGAAAAUGACCUUACGUAAAUAAGACUCCCCUGAUAACUACCUGCCAGCAGCCGCGGUAAUACGUCGGGGGCGAGCGUUAUCCGGAUUAACUGGGUGUAAAGUGAGCGUAGACGGCAGAGUAAGUAUGGAGUGAAAGCCGCGGGCUAAACCUGCGGACUGCUCUGGAAACUGCACGGCUGGAGUGCAUGAGAGGUAAGUGGAAUUCCAAGUGUAGCAGUGAAAUGCGUAGAUAUUAGGAAGAACACCAGUGGCGAAGGCGGCCUACUGGACUGCAACUGACGCUGAUGCACGAAAGCGUGGGGAGCAAACAGGAUUAGAUACCCGAGUAGUC